GUGCUCGCUUCGGCAGCACGUAUACUAAAAUUGGAACGCAACCGAGGAGAUUAUCAUGGUCCUUGCGCAAGGAUGACACGCAAAUUCGUGAUGCAUUCCAUAUUUUU
rfam:Tupaia chinensis contig160558, whole genome shotgun sequence.